CGGGUGUUACAUUCUCCCCCCCUUAAAAAAAAAUUCGACCUCGAAUUUUAAAAGAAAAGGGGCUUCACUUACGACUGAACUAAUUAGGAACCUCUCAUCUCCAACCCGGCUUCUCGGAAACUUUUCCUCGGCAGAAAUAAAUCACAAGACUCAUCGACAAAACCCUUAAAUAAAACUGGUGAACCUGAAAAUCCGCGAUUCUCACUUACUACUCCUCGGAAACCAAAUCUUCACUUGCUUCCACACACUAAGGGUCCAACACGAGCAAAGGAUCGAAAAAAAAUACUUCCUCAACUCAGACCUACGAACAACUGGAUUUAACCUCAGAGAACAUUACUAAUACUUGGCGGCAAGUCCAACUUACAUGCCACCUCACCAACCUGCCGACAAAACCAAGGGUUCUCACAACCUUAUUUUCUUACCAAACCACAUCACUUAUGACAUACCAUCCAUCUAGUUUCCAUAACCGACACAACUCAUGCCAUCCUGACACAAGAUUCCCCCUUGACUAAAAUCCAAAAACCUCCUUAUAAUCCAACGUGGGACUUACAGCUCCACAGACUUACUCUCUUAACAACUCAACUCGUCAUCCAGAGAAUUCUCAAGCUAACACUAUUUACUUUGAAAAAUUUACUUAUUUAUUUACUUUAUAAUCAUCACUGAUAAAAGCUUUAUUAUCUUGGAAAAAAUACUUUUAUAAAAUCGUAAAAUAUUUAGCCAUUUCUUUAUAUAAAAUUCUACAAUAUCGCGCACCAGGGUGAUGAUGCCCCUAUCACCAAGGGUUGCAAUGCACAAUGUAUGAUGCAUGUCCUAAAAUGAAUUUAUGUAUGCCUAACAGUGAGAUGCCAUAUGCAUUCUUACGGGACUGGGCGCAAUAUUGUAUUUUAAAACACUUGUCCUACUUAGAAAAAUAAAUAAUGUUCGCUUAAGUUUCUCUGGAUUCUGAGCGUCCGAAAACACUCCUACCACCUUUCUUAAGCUUCUUACAAUCACCAACUCAACCAUAACAGCCGACAUCCGCUCGACUUCCCAGGCACUAACUUCGGCACUACUCAAUAAGGCGAUGCCUGAUGCGAUGACGAGGCAGCUCAUGACAUGACUGCAACCACGCUCUACACUAAAACUGACUGCGGUGCCGACCAUCGAAACAACAAUCAAAGCUUCUAAAGGCGGACUGCACUAAUCACUUGAAGAAACAGCACGAGUCUAUCGCGCUUCGGAUCCUCCCAUCGCUACAGAGCUCAAUCUCAGCACAGCACCAAAAACAAGCUCACAAGAAAGGAAAGACUGACUCUCUAACAGUAAAGGCUGAGACACU
rnacentral:lncRNA from 1 species